rnacentral:rRNA from 1 species
UUCGGUGGCCAUAGCGUGAGGGAAACGCCCGGUUACAUUCCGAACCCGGAAGCUAAGCCUUACAGCGCCGAUGGUACUGCAGGGGG